rnacentral:rRNA from 1 species
AUGCCAUGUCAGUCUUUAACAUCCCGAAGAAUAUUUGUAAGGCUAUCUGUGAUGCUAUUGCUAGAUAUUGGUGGGGUGACACGCAAGAAAAAAAGAAGAUCCACUGGAAGGCGUGGUGGAAGAUGUGCAUUCCUAAGAAAGAGGGAGGUAUGGGCUUUCGUGAUUUACAUUGUUUUAACAAAGCUAUGCUAG